rnacentral:tRNA from 1 species
UCGGGAUAGCUCAGCUGGUAAAGCAAAGGACUGAAAAUCCUCGGGC